GGGGGCGACCAGGCUUAGACGUGAAUCCUGAAACCUGAGACGCAUGCCGAGCCGGCAACGGAGGCUCGUAAAUCCAUCAGUUGCAAUUGUAUAUCUGCAAACGAUACACAAUACGCUGUAGCUGCCUAAUAACGCGGCCUCCCAUUGUCAGGAUUGGCUUGUAGAUUCUGUCUAAUGGUCAUAUUUUAUAAGCUCGCUUUCAAGCAUGGCCCAUGACUUGGAAGUUAAACUUCAGGGCUCGCUGUCAAUCUCCCCUGCACGUCGGAUGGUUGUCAGCUAAAUAAUAGACGAUGCUAAGCAUGUAGGGUCAAAGGCGUAUGAUUUACGGACGCGGGUUCAAUUCCCGCCGCCUCCACCA
rnacentral:tmRNA from 1 species